GCCAGGAGGCACGCGUCAAAUUCUCAAUCCUCCCCUGCAUUGAAUGGAACUUUUUAUGCCUAAUUGAAAUGGCGAGAAGUACUUGUGGGGUGAAUAACUCCUUUGAAAGUCAGGACAACAGGUUGAGGUUCCUUGUGGGGGAAAGAAGGCCCGACUCCAGGAAUUUUAAAUCAUGGCGACAAUUUGGAGAGAUCCGAAAACGGUAAGCAAAUUGGCACAGACUUGUUAGCCCGGCUCGCUGGCAUUUCAGGCAUCUUAAGUACGCCCACCAGAACAUGUAAAUAGAGUUUCGGUAUCGAGGAGGGAGCUUGGUAUGCAAUUUGCUCAUUUGACACUUGAAAUAUGUGGCAACAAUACGAGAGGAGGAACAGGAAAUUUUUUCGCAUUUCGCGUUUCGCAUUCGCAAUUGCAAUUGCAAUCGAAAUGGCCAUGUCUGCGGCUCUAUAGGCAAAUGUCAGCCAACAACCUCGUCGCAGGCGGUGACAAUGACAGGUAAAGGGGGCCUGCGGGGCUUCGAUGGACAUCGGGCUAACUGGCGACGACAAGUGGACAAGCCAGCUCCUAGCUGCGAGCUGCGAGCUGCCUCUGGAUCAGGCUGUCUAUCUGUAGGUCUGUCUGGCAGCCCCUGAUCGCCGGGAUGAACUCUGAACCUGUACAAAAUAUGCGGCCAACUUGUUUCCAAUGCACGCCCCGAGGAGCAGGCAGCAACGCCCCCAACUCGCCACGGCAUCUGGAUGUUGGCCACCCUGUGGAAGACAGAGUCUCUGGACAUUUGAAGAAGGAAAACAGGCGGAAAAAACUGCUGAUUUUAUAUUAGGUGAUACAUAACAUUAAAAUAAGCAAGGCGAAUCUCUACACGCGUUAAAUGUAAACUCUAUAAAAUCCUUUUAAGUGGAA